rnacentral:tRNA from 1 species
GCGCUUAUGGUGAAAGGGAUAUCACAGGAGCCUUCUAAGCUCUUAUUGCAGGUUCGAAUCCUGCUAAGCGUACCA